GAUACCAAAGCCUGGCAGAGACACAACAAAAAAAGAGAAUUUUAGACCAAUAUCCCUGAUGAACACUGAUGCGAAAAUCCUCAAUAAAAUACUGGCAAACUGAAUCCAGCAGCACAUCAAAAAGCUUAUCCACCAUGAUCAAGUUGGCUUCAUUCCUGGGAUGCAAGGCUGGUUCAACAUACUCAAAUGAAUAAACAUAAUGCAACAUGUAAACAGAACCAAUGACAAAAACCACAUGAUUAUCUCAAUCGAUGCAGAAAAGGCCUUUGACAAAAUUCAACAGCACUUCAAGCUAAAAACUCUCAAUAAACUAGGUAUUGAUGGAAUGUAUCUCAAAAUAAUAAGAGCUAAAAGCUGAAACUGGAUCUCUUCCUUAUGCUUUAUACAAAAAUUAAUUCAAGAUGGAUUGAAGACUUAAAUGUUAGACCUAAAACCAUAAAAACCCUAGAAGAAAACCUAGGCAAUACCAUUCAGCCUGCACGUUGUGCACAUGUACCCUAGAACUUAAAGUAUAAUAAAAAUAAAUAAAUAAAUAAAUUCACUCAUGUAUCAACAUCUAUUUCUGGGCUCUUAUCUUUCAUUGCUUUUUUUAUUUUAAUUUUUUAACAAUGUGAGGCAAACUUCCUGAACAUUAUCUAAUUUCAUAAUAAUCUUGUCCAUUCUCAGGCACUUAUUCUUCUAUAGCAAUGUUAACAUGAUCCCCCAUGCCAACUCUUCAAAACAAAAACAAAUGAGAAUUGAUUGAAUUGAUAUUUUGAGUGAUAUUGUCUUCUUUUCCAAGAACAUGGUACAUUUCAGUUUGAUCAGAUUUUGUCUUUCAUUAAGGUUUGAUACUUCUCUGAGCAUACAUUCUACACCAUUUAUGCCAGAUUUAUUUCAAAAAUUUUAUCAUUUGUAUC
rnacentral:lncRNA from 1 species